rnacentral:rRNA from 1 species
ACACGUAGGGGGCGAGCGUUAUCCGGAUUCAUUGGGCGUAAAGCGCGUGCAGGCUGCCGCCUAAGCGGGACCUCUAAUCCCGGGGCUCAACCCCGGGCCGGGUCCCGAACUGCGGCUCGGGUGCGGUAGGGGAGGUCGGAAUUCCCGGUGUAGCGGUGGAAUGCGCAGAUAUCGGGAGGAACACCGACGGCGAAGGCAGGCCUCUGGGCCGCCACCGACGCUGAGGCGCGAAAGCCGGGGGAGCGAACAGGAUUAGAUACCCUGGUAGUCCCGGCCGUAAACGAUGCUAGCUAGGUGUGGGGGGACGUGCCCCCCGUGCCGCAGCCAACGCAUUAAGCUAGCCGCCUGGGGAGUACGGCCGCAAGGCUAAAACUCAAAUGAAUUGACGGGG